AAUAUUGCACAAUGGAGGAAACUCUGAUGCAGCGACGCCGCGUGAACGAUGAAGGCCUUCGGGUCGUAAAGGUCUGUCCUAGGGGACGAUAAUGACGGUACCCUAGGAGGCAGCCCCGGCUAACUACUUGCCAGCAGCCGCGGUAAUACGUAGGGGGCGAGCGUUGUCCGGAAUUAUUGGGCGUAAAGGGUUCGUAGGCGGUAAUUUAAGUCAGGUGUGAAAGGCGCGGGCUCAACCUGUGUAAGCACUUGAAACUGGAUUACUUGAGUUAAGGAGAGGAAAGUGGAAUUCCUAGUGUAGCGGUGAAAUGCGUAGAUAUUAGGAGGAAUACCAGUGGCGAAGGCGACUUUCUGGACUUAUACUGACGCUGAGGAACGAAAGCGUGGGGAGCAAACAGG
rnacentral:rRNA from 1 species